UACUUCUAGGGGAUUUGGGUUUCUUUAACAACUAAAGUUCCUGAUAUAUCCCAGUUUUCACUGAUUUUAUCUAUGUUUUAGGUAUAGGAUCUUGAGUCUUUAUAUUAUUUCUCGAGUCUUUUUAGUGUCUUUUCAAGUAUUCUAUGCACUGAGACAAUAAUAGAGAUAAGGAGACAUUUUGGAGCAAGAGCUAAGGAAAAGGAAGCUAAGGACGAUUUUGGAUCCAGGAAUUAGGGAGGAGUGUUGAUUGACACACUCUUGGUGUCGAUCGACAACAGUUUCGGCCCAGUAAAAGUCCUAGAUGCUUUCGAGUUUACAGAAGAGGAAAUUUGCCCUAGAAGACUUCCCUAUUUUGUUACUCACGCGUUUCUUGUUUUCUUCCUUUUUGUGUUUCAGGUGUAUGCCUAGGCAAACAAAGAGCACAAAACAGAAGAAGCUUAUCAACUUGUCUGUACUGGACUUGGGAAAACUUGAACGCACCAACCGAAAAACUCAGAGAUUAGCAAUGACUAAUAGAGUCAUCAGAGCUGAUGUAGAAGGAGUUUUGAGAGAUAAGGAUGGGCAAGCCUACAAUAAGGCUGGUCAGAGAUUGAAUGAUCAUGGACUCAUCCUACUUGAGGACGUCGAUGAGAAUCAGGCGCGCCUCAACGCGCAAAUAGCUGUCAGAGACACAGUAGGGCUCGCUGUCGAUUGAUACAAAAGAGGUGUCGAUCAACACCAUAGGGAGCAGAAUGACGAUGUAGUUGGUGUCGAACGACACAACAGAGGUGUCGAUCGACACCAACACCAGAUUCCUGCAGCUAUUCCUCCAACUGCGAAACCACGUCGUACUCUUGGGGAUUUCAACAGGCCCAACCUGUUCUAUGCUAAUUGAUCAGCGAUCGUACCCCCACCCUUCCAGAGGAACGUCUAUGAGCUGAAGCCUCGCUACUUUACUUUAGUUGGUCAGCACCCUUUCCAUGGCUUAUCUCAUGAGCAGCCAAUGGACCAUAUAGAGCGCUUUGAGGACCUUGUUCUAAGCAUCAAGACUAAUGGAGUCUCAGAGGACUACCUACUUUGCAAGCUCUUCCCUUAUUCACUUGCUGGGGAAGCAGCUUCUUGACUGAAACAACUUAAAGCAGGUUCCCUCAAGACUUGGAGAAGCAUCAAGAUAGCCUUCUUGAACAAUUUCUACGAUGAUCCUAAGUUUGAUGAGUUGAGAAACAAGCUGUCUACCUUCACACAGGGUCCAGCUAAAUCUUAAAAGGCUGUGUGGUUCAUUUCAAUGAGUACCAACGGGACUGCCCACAUCACGGUUUCAGUGACGUACAACUUCUAGGUACUUUCUUCAGAGGAGUCAAUUGGAGAUACCAUAUGGCUCUAGAUGCAGCAAGAAAUGGUAACUUCAACACACGUUACCCAACUGAUGCUACAACCCUGAUAGAGAACCUCGCUUGCAGCAACAGUAACAAGAAUGCUGAUUUUGAGAGGAAGAAGAUUGAUGGAGCUAUUUCAGGUAAUCAAAUGGCAGAGGUGAAUGCUAAGCUGGAUUCGGUUCAUAACUUGCUUACAGAGAAGAAGCAUGUCCACUUUGCAGCUGAGGAUGAGACUAUUGAGCCUGAGCCUGAGUCAGAGGAAGGAGUCUUCUACAUAGAUGGUCAGGGAUACAAGAAGUUUUGGGCAGCCACAGGGCAACUUCAGUGGCAACAGGUUUACAGAGAACCAGGGUUCCUCCAACUACACUCCAAAGCCUGCUUUCCAGAAGACCUUUCCUUAGAGAAACUUUCAGAGGACCUAUGGUAAUUCAGCUUACCAAGCCUCCCCUCCACCCACAGAAGAGACAAGAAUGGAAUCGAUGCUUGAGCAGAUUCUGGAGAGCCAAACAAAGCUCGUUAUGGAAUUCCAUUGUCAACUUCUUUAGCUUACUUCCCCUAGAAUUCUUUCCCUUUUCUUAUCAACAAUGAAUUCACCCUUUUCUUUCUUUUAAACACAUCCCAACCCAUGAUAUAAGCGCCCACCUAGUUCUAUCCAAUCCUGAAAACGCGAACUAGAACUACAUGAGACACUAUCUCUAUCGUUACGAACCUAACACUUUUUACCAUGCUCAAUCGGGAUAAGACCUGACAAACACUCACAAGUGAUAAAUGGCUUGAAAGAAGGUUUAGGUUUAGGGUCGGGGUUAACUGCUCCAAUGAGGGGAGUCAGCUACUUGGACUAACAAGAGUGGUUAAAAUGAGUAAGGAAGUCCAAAUAAUGUAGGGUAUACAUGAGUUCGAAUUCGAUGCUAAGACAUGAUAAUUCUAAAUCAGAUUCAGGUUCAAAUUGAUUGGGAAUGGUAUCAAAUCAUGACAGUGUGGCGAGUAGAGCAAUCUAGGCAUGGUGCAGUUUUAUUUCAAUUUAAUUGACUACGCAUCAGACAACUAACAACGAGGACACUAAGUUUAUCUAGUGAACCAAAAAGCUUACAAGGCUAUCUCAUCAUUAUCCCCCAUGCAUAUGCAAUAAUCCUAAAUGAAACACUCUAGACUCGAUCCUAAAUGUAAUGCAACUACAUGAACACUCUGUUUUUUUUUUAAAUCAUUUUCUGAAAUUUUUCAAUUUUUUUGUUUUUUUUUUCUAUGCCUUAGAUGAAUGCAGACUCAAAACUAUAUACAAUGCAACACACACUUCCUGAGUCCUCCCCCAAACUUAAAUCACACAGUCCUCUAUGUGACCAAAUUUAGAAAAGAGUACUCAGGACAAAACACAUCACAGAAACAAAAUAAAAACAGGAGAUGGUAUAAUACAAGGGUGAAGUGAGGUGCUUACCUCAGUCGAAGAAGGAGCAGAGUUGGUCGUCAAUAACUACCUAUGAUUGCUUCAGGCCAUUGAAGAAUCUCCCUAUUGUGUCUCAGCUCCGCCUUGUGGGUACUCGACCUCAUCUCCUUCGUGGCGGCCAUCACCAUAUUUUUUCAGGUGAUUACUGAUGACCCCAUGGAUGUCUUUCAUACUCCACUUGAAUCACAUGAUUGUUAUAAGGAUGAUGCAAAAGAAGGCAAUCCAAUUUUUGACACUGGUGUCAAGGAUCCAAAUGGCAAUGAUGCAGAUGAUGAGGGAAAAAUCCAGGUACUUUUAUAAAUACAAACACAACACAUCAAACAUUUUAUUUAACAUUUUAUAGAUUCUUACACAUUUGACUAUUGUACUUUACAAUCAGUUUGAUUCAAGUGCAAACCUAAGCAACAAAAAACAAUCUCCUCAGUCCAUUCUUAAACCAAAUUAUGGAGGUAAGCUAAUAUAUAAACCAAAUUAUUGUCAGUCCAAAUCUCCUCAGUCCAUUCUUAAACCAAAUUAUUGUCACAGUCCUUAAGAUAUAUUCGUUUGUAAUUCAUUAUUCAGGACACCUUGGAGACGGUUGAAGCUUCUCUUUCAGUGUUGGAGACGCAACCCGAAGAAAACAUUGACGAUGAUCCUAUGCGGGAGGUAAGCUAAUAAAUAAUUUGUUGGAACACAUCGGAGAGGGUUUCUGCAUCCCAGUCCUUAAACCAAAUUUUCAUUGUCCUUACGCCAUCUUCCUCUAUAAUUCAUAAUUCAGGAAACCUUGGAGACGGUUGAAGCUUCUCAUUCAAUGUUGGAGACACAACCCGAAGAAAACAUUGACGAUGAUCCUAUGAUGAAGGUAAGCUAAUAUAUAAUUUGAUGUAACACAUCGGAGAUGGUUGCUGCAUCCCAAUCCUUAAACUAAAUAAUGGCACAUGUGCAUAGUUAUUGUGCACAGGAUUUUGUGGAUACUUAGGAGUGUACUUCGACAUUCAGGUCACUUUGGAGGCGGGUGCAGCAUCUCAAUCAGUGGUGGAGCCGCAACCCGAUGACCCUAUGGAGGUAUACAUUUUUAACUAGUUCCUUGAUUUAUUGGACACUGGAGAGAGAUGCUUCAUCUCUCAGUCCUUGUCCAAAAAAACAUUUACAGGGCAAUUCUCCACAGGGCAAUUCUCCAUAGGGCAAUGCAGCAUCUCAUUCAUUGUUACAGACUCAACCAGAAGUCAACAUCGACGGUGGUCCUUUGAAGGUGUACAAUAACAACAAGUAUCAUUUUAUGGGUUGCGGUUCUUGUGUUAUUGGACAAGAUUUUGUGGUUACUUCAUAAUUUGUAGGAAAUAUUUCUUAUAUUUUUUCUGACCAGCUUUUUGGGUACUUCAACAUUCAGGACAACAUGGAGACGGCUGCAGCAUCUCAUUCAUUGCUAGAGACUCAACGAGAAGUCAACAUCGACGGUGAUCCUAUAAGGUAUGCAGUAACAACAAGUAUCAUUUUAUGGGUUGUGGUUCUUGUGUUAUUGAACAUGAUUUUGUUGAUACUUCUUAAUUUGUAGGCAAUAUUUCUUAUAUUUAUUCAAACCAGCUACAUGUGUACUUCAACAUUCAGGUUAUUGUGGAGAUACUUGCAGCAUCGCAUUCAGUGUCGGAGGCACAACCCGAAGUAAAGAUUGGCAAUGAUGCUACGGGGGUAUAAAUUUCUAACUAGUUUCAGCUAAUGAUUUACAUUCAUUCAUUUAUUGGAGAUUGUAGAGGUUUGCUGCAUCUCUCAGGCAUUAUGCAACAAACAUUUAUAGAAAAAAUGUUCCACAUGGUAAAGUUAUCUAAAAAUAAGGUCAACAUUAGGUUUGAACUAAAUUAUGAUACCAUGUUCACUUUUAUAUUUGACAGGAGUUUGUGGAUCCCUUAACAUUUGCAGAUAAUAUUAUCUUAUGUUUUCUCACCAUCUUUUUGUGUACUUCAACUUUUAGGACACCAUGGAGACGCCUCCAACAUCUCAUUCAUUGUUAGGGUUUGCAAUGUUCUCUGAAAAGAAGGUCAUCCUUAUGUCUAAACUAAAUUAGGCUUGCAUGUUCACUUUUAUAUUGGAUAGGAGUUUGUGGAUUCGUUAUAACUUGCA
rnacentral:sRNA from 1 species